rnacentral:lncRNA from 1 species
UAAUAAGUUUAUUUUCACAAGCUAUUGUAAUAACAGAUACAAAUCUAUUUAGCUGGGUUUAUAGUAUUACUAGUCAUAAUCCAAGAUUAUGCUUAGCAAAUCAGAAACCAAUAUAUGUUUUUAUUUUCUCUUGUGCUUACUGUGCCCAAAGAAACCUUCAAAUUUAUUUUUUAAUUACAUAGAUAUAAGUGCUUCAUCUACAGAAUCAAGAAUCCAUGAUUAGAGAAAAAUGUGAAUUAUUCAAGCAAGUUGACACAAAUCAAAACUUUAAAAAUAACUAUAUUUACAAUAGAAAAGUAUCAUAUAAGGUAAAAAAUAGACGUCCUGAUGGGAGAGAAUAAUAAUGUACAUGUUCUGGCCAGCAGUUAGUUUUGUACAUAGUAAUGCAAUUUCAUGUUUUACAUCCCUUUUGUUUUUAAAGGCACAUUUCUUUAUAGUAUCUUAAAACUACUUUCUUGAAUGUUCCAUAAUUAAUGAAAACAUACAAGCAAUAUGUGCACUCAGUUUAACUGGCAUUUGAUUUAAUGUGCUUUACCAACAGUUUGCAUGAGUCCAUUUUAUUCAUUCCCUCCCUGUCUCAGCCAAACCCAUUCAUUGGAACUACCAAUUGUUUCAAUUCUGGGUAUUUUCUUCAUAUUGGGCCAUUGUCCAAAUAUACAAAUAGGAAAUGGGGAGCAGAGUUUACUCUCCAAGGAUGUACUAUAUAGCACGGUAAUACAGCAAGAUAAGUUUAUUUGGCUAUGUUUAACACAUAUGUGGCGUAUCUUGAAUAAUACUAUGAUUUUUAAAUUAGGAUUUCCCCUUAAUUAUUACAACCAACAAUAUUGAGGAAGACGAGAUAAUACCAGAGGAGAAAGGGAGAUUUUACUUUGGGGGAGGAAAUGAAAAUAAAAAAUAUUAGCAAACAUUCUACCAAACCAAAGUAUGUUAUGACUUCACUUUAGGAUAGGCAAAUCUGAAAAUAGAUUAUUAGACUGAACCCAAAAAGGGUAUGUAUGUCCCCUUUAUUCCAAAUAAAGGGGAAAUAUCGGAUUUAUUGUCAUUCACCCUUUA